rnacentral:tRNA from 1 species
GUGGGAUUGUGGCUCAGUGGUAGAGCACUCACCUAGCAUGUGUGAGGCCCUGGGUUCAAUCCUCAGCACCACA